GCAUUUGCCAAGAAUGUUUUCAUUGAUCAGGAGCGAAAGUCAGAGGUUCGAAGACGAUCAGAUACCGUCCUAGUUCUGACCAUAAACGAUGCCAACUGACGAUCCGCGGCGGUUCUUUAAUUGGCCCCGCGGGCAGUCCCCGGGAAACCCUUAAGUCUUUGGGCUCCGGGGGAAGUAUGGUUGCAAAGCUGAAACUUAAAGGAAUUGACGGAAGGGCACCACCAGGAGUGGAGCCUGCGGCUUAAUUCGACUCAACACGGGAAAACUCACCCGGCCCGGACACUGUGAGGAUUGACAGAUUGAUAGCUCUUUCUUGAUUCGGUGGUUGGUGGUGCAUGGCCGUUCUUAGUUGGUGGAGCGAUUUGUCUGGUUAAUUCCGAUAACGAACGAGACUUUGACCUACUAAUUAGUAUGCCUAUCCUCUGUGCUCGUGCAGGUCUCGGUUUCAGUUGCCUCCUCGAGGGGUGGUGGAGUCGUGGAUCGGCGGGUACGGCGUGGUGCUUACUUCUUAGAGGGACAAGCGGCGCUUCAAAGUCGCACGAAAUUGAGCAAUAACAGGUCUGUGAUGCCCUUAGAUGUCCGGGGCCGCACGUGCGCUACAAUGACGGUGCCAGCGAGCAUGGAAACCUGGCCCGAAAGGGUUGGGCAAACUUUUCAUCACCGUCGUGACUGGGAUCGGGGCUUGCAAUUAUUCCCCGUGAACGAGGAAUUCCUAGUAAGUGCAAGUCAUAAGCUUGCGCUGAUUACGUCCCUGCCCUUUGUACACACCGCCCGUCGCUACUACCGAUUGAAUGGUUAAGCUGAGGAAAUCGGAUUGGUACUGUUUUAGCGGCUCUGUCGCUUGACUGGUAUCGAAAAGAUGACCAAA
rnacentral:rRNA from 2 species